CGGGCCCCCGCCAGAGGCGAUAUAAGCCAAGAAUCGGCCCGCGCGUUAGGCGCACACUUGGCCGCGCCAUGAAGCCGCUUGGCCUCUACGCGCUCGCCGUGAUCCUCCUCCUCCUCCUCGUCUGCCUGCACACGGCGCAGCCCGCGAGGCGGAAGCGGCAGAGGCCUUACCAGAAACCUGGCUAUUGCCCAGAGUUUCUUCUUGAAUGCCCUUUCACCCUCUUCCCUGCGUGCAAGCGCGAUAAGGGUUGCCCCAGGACGAAGAAGUGUUGUUUCUACAACUGCAAGAAGCAGUGUCUGGAGCCCUUGACAAGCUGGGAUUGAGCUUAUAAUAGUGAAUCACUUAAAAAUAUGAGGUAGAAACCCCUUCUUAACCAGACCUGAGAAGAUCCAUGGCACCGGCUGAGACCUGGAUAACUGACCCCCAAUUCCUCCACGCUCUGCUCACUCCCCAAACUUUCUUUCAUCAAAAGUUAAAUGCUUAUUAAUAUGAAAACAACAGAAAGAAAUUGUGUUGUAUAUUUAAAACUACAUGAAAAUCUAUGACUCCUGGAUGUCCCCCCGCCCCCCACCUCGCUUCUCUUUCAGCCUUUGCCCGGGGGGGGGGGUCCUUUAGAGUUUGUAAAAAGGGUAGAAGUUACUGUUUCACAUUUCAUUUUGGUUGGUUCUUGCACUUCUGUUUUUUCGGAUAUGUUUCUCUCUCGCAGUGUCUCCUGACCUUCAGGUUUUUUGUUGGUCAGAUUCCAGGGGCAUUUUUGAGUCAUAUCUUCUGGGUCUGGAUCCUGUGAAAGCUGUACACAUUACCCCCAGGUGGAUGAGGAAGACGGGUGAUUGUCUCUGGUGUUGCUGCCUUUCCACUCGUGCGAGUAGCGUGUUCUCGGGCCACGUCUGGAACUUAGGGCUGGAAAUGGAGCAGGUCGUGCCUUUGUUCCAAGCUACUUUAGGGUCUUGAAUGUAGACCCAUCAUAAAUCAGGAAAAGAAACACUGUGACCCACUUUAGCUACCUUAAGUCUUAGUGUGGGGGUGCAGCCCCUAAGCUACCUAAUAAUGAAAUGAUACCCUUGCAUUUCUUACCUUCUGCUAUGUGAUUCAGUCUUGAUUAGGGGUCACACAAGGAUUUCAGGUCGGGGAACGUGGCCUUCAAAAAAUUUAUUUUUCUUGGACACACACACACCUGAAACAAAGUUUUGUGAAGCUGCCGUUGCCUAGAAUGUUUUAAGUUGACGUAUAAUAUUUUUCAUCAUAACUUACAUGGUUGCAAGUGCUAAAAUUUUAAGGAUAUGAUGAGUAUUUUCAUUUAAAUACAAUGGCCUGGGUGGCUCAGUCAGUUAGGCAUCCGACUCUUGAUUGCAGCUCAGGUCAUGAUCUCAUGGUUCAUGAGAUCAAGCCCCACGUCAGGCUCUGCAGUGACAGCGGAGCCUGCUUGGGAUUCUCUGUCUCCCUCUCUCUCUGCCCCUCCCCCCCUUUCUCUCAAAAUAAAUAAAUCAACUUUUAAAAAAUAAAUAAAUAUAACGGGGACCUCACUCUUUCCUUUUGUAAUUUUUUUCAAUGUUUAUUUUUGAGAGACAAAGACAGAGCACGAGCAGGGGAGGGGCAGAGAGAGACACACACACGGAACCCGAAGCAGGCUCCAGUCUCUGAACUGUCAGCACAGAGCCCCAUGCAGGGCCUCAAACUCAGGAACAGUGCGAUCAUGACCUGAGCCGAGGUUGGACACUUAACCCACUGAGCCACCCAGGCACCCACGGGACCUCACUCAUUCUAAUGUUUCUAAUGAAAUCUGAAAACCGUCUUCAUUUAAUAAUGAUAUGUAUUAGAAAAACACAUGUUCUUACUUUUCCAAAACUUCUUCUGCCUCCGCACUUUCUUUUCCGUCCCUGCUUGAAUAAUUCAAGUCAAAACAAA